CGGCUCCGAAAGUCUUUGGAAACAGAGAUUUCCCGCAAGGGACGGGAGUCGAGGUGCUGCAUGGCUGUCGUCAGCUCGUGUCGUGAGAUGUUGGGUUAAGUCCCGCAACGAGCGCAACCCUUGUCCUGUGUUACCAUGUCGAAAGACGGAACUCGCAGGAGACCGCCAGCGAUAAGCUGGAGGAAGGUGGGGAUGACGUCAAGUCCUCAUGGCCUUUAUGUCCAGGGCUACACACGUGCUACAAUGGGCGGUACAAAGCGCUGCUAAACCGCAAGGUGGAGCCAAUCGCAAAAAGCCGCUCUCAGUUCGGAUUGCAGGCUGCAACUCGCCUGCAUGAAGCUGGAAUCGCUAGUAAUGCUAUAUCAGAACGAUAGCGUGAAUACGUUCCCGGGCCUUGUACACACCGCCCGUCACAUCACGAAAGUGGAUUGUACUAGAAGUCUGCGCGCUAACCCGCAAGGGAGGCAGCGGCCCAAGGUAUGAUUCAUGAUUGGGGUGAAGUCGUAACAAGGUAAC
rnacentral:rRNA from 1 species